rnacentral:pre_miRNA from 1 species
UAUUAAAAAAAAUUCAUCCAUUAGAACUGUUUAAAACUAAUGUGGCUGUUGAAAUAACCAAACAGUGACAUGUGACGUGCCACGUGUACAUCAUGCUAACGUACAAUGACCAGUUUUUAAUAAUAAAACUAGAUGAAAUUUUUAACA